GAUCAUGGCUCAGGAUGAACGCUAGCGACAGGCUUAACACAUGCAAGUCGAGGGGCAGCGGGGAGUAGCAAUACUCUGCCGGCGACCGGCGCACGGGUGAGUAACGCGUAUGCAACUUGCCUAUCAGAGGAGAAUAGCUCAUCGAAAGAUGAAUUAAUGCUCCAUAAAACAGGGGUUCCGCAUGGGAAUAUUUGUUAAAGAUUUAUCGGUGAUGGAUGGGGAUGCG
rnacentral:rRNA from 1 species